rnacentral:rRNA from 1 species
UACGUCGGGUGCGAGCGUUGUCCGGAAUUACUGGGCGUAAAGAGCUCGUAGGUGGUUUGUCGCGUUGUUCGUGAAAACUCACAGCUUAACUGUGGGCGUGCGGGCGAUACGGGCAGACUGGAGUACUGCAGGGGAGACUGGAAUUCCUGGUGUAGCGGUGGAAUGCGCAGAUAUCAGGAGGAACACCGGUGGCGAAGGCGGGUCUCUGGGCAGUAACUGACGCUGAGGAGCGAAAGCGUGGGGAGCGAACAGG